AUGACCGACGCGGGUUAAAGUGUAGUAGUAUCUCUUCUUACCAGCUUAAUAUCUGAUACGCGUUGUAUUUGGAUCUAAGAUAUUAAACUUAUUUUUGCAAGUUGGCGGAGUGCUUAAAGCCUGCAUUGACUCCGCAGUGGAUCGGCCCGGUAUUGUACUAUCUUCGGGGUCGGCCCACGUAUG